UACGUAGGGGGCAAGCGUUGUCCGGAUUUAUUGGGCGUAAAGAGCGUGUAGGCGGCUUUGCAAGUCCGUUGUGAAAACUCGAGGCUCAACCUCGAGACGCCGGUGGAAACUGCAAAGCUAGAGUCCGGAAGAGGAGAGUGGAAUUCCUGGUGUAGAGGUGAAAUGCGCAGAUAUCAGGAAGAACACCCGUGGCGAAGGCGGCUCUCUGGGACGGUACUGACGCUGAGACGCGAAAGCGUGGGGAGCGAACAGG
rnacentral:rRNA from 1 species